UGGGGAAUAUUGCACAAUGGGCGCAAGCCUGAUGCAGCCAUGCCGCGUGUAUGCAGAAGGCCUUCGGGUUGUAAAGUACUUUCAGCGGGGAGGAAGGGAGUAAAGUUAAUACCUUUGCUCAUUGACGUUACCCGCAGAAGAAGCACCGGCUAACUCCGUGCCAGCAGCCGCGGUAAUACGGAGGGUGCAAGCGUUAAUCGGAAUUACUGGGCGUAAUUCGCACGCAGGCGGUUUGUUAAGUCAGAUGUGAAAUCCCCGGGCUCAACCUGGGAACUGCAUCUGAUACUGGCAAGCUUGAGUCUCGUAGAGGGGGGUAGAAUUCCAGGUGUAGCGGUGAAAUGCGUAGAGAUCUGGAUGAAUACCGGUGGCGAAGGCGGCCCCCUGGACGAAGACUGACGCUCAGGUGCGAAAGCGUGGGGAGCAAACAGG
rnacentral:rRNA from 1 species